rnacentral:rRNA from 1 species
UACGGGGGGUGCGAGCGUUGUCCGGAAUCACUGGGCGUAAAGGGCGCGUAGGUGGCGUCGUAAGUCUGUGGUGAAAGCCCGGAGCUCAACUCCGGGUCUGCCGCGGAUACUGCGAGGCUUGAGUGCUGUAGAGGGGGGUAGAAUGCCGGGUGUAGCGGUGGAAUGCGUAGAGAUCCGGCAGAAGACCGGUGGCGAAGGCGGCGUCCUGGCCUAGAACUGACGCUGAGGCGCGAAAGCUAGGGGAGCAAACGGG